rnacentral:rRNA from 1 species
GACGAACGCUGGCGGCGUGCUUAACACAUGCAAGUCGAACGGUGAAGCGCCUUCCUUUUUGGUGGGUGUGGAUGAGUGGCGAACGGGUGAGUAACACGUGAGUAACCUGCCCCCUUCUUCUGGAUAACCGCAUGAAAGUGUGGCUAAUACGGGAUAUUCUGGGUCUGUCGCAUGAUGGGUCUGGGAAAGAUAUUGUUUCGGUGGGGGAUGGGCUCGCGGCCUAUCAGCUUGUUGGUGGGGUGAUGGCCUACCAAGGCGGUGACGGGUAGCCGGCCUGAGAGGGUGGACGGUCACACUGGGACUGAGCCACGGCCCAGCCUCCUACGGGAGGCAGCAGUGGGGACUAUUGCACAAUGGGCGCAAGCCUGAUGCAGCGACGCCGCGUGAGGGAUGGAGGCCUUCGGGUUGUGAACCUCUUUCGCCAGUGAAGCAGGCCUGCCUCGUUUGUGGGUGGGUUGACGGUAGCUGGAUAAGAAGCGCCGGCUAACUACGUG